UGAUGGUGAUGAUGGCUGCACAACGGUGUGAAGCUUCCCCAGAAGAAUGCAGUCUACAUGAAGGCAAGGACAAUGUCCCUCAUGCAUCCACCACACCUAGAGUCAUACCUGCAUGUGGUCCACCUCAAUAAAUAUUUAUUGAAUGUGGAAGGAGAGCAGCCUACCUGAACAUAUGUUAGAGACAAAAUCAUUUUCAGCACACAAGUCAGUCACAGCCUUGAGACACGUGGGCUGAUUAAUGGGGAAAAUGGCAGGGGCAGGGAAUCACACUGCAAUAAACUUCCCCUAAUCCCAUCUCUUCCCUUUCAGCUACAGCCCUUUCUUGAUUAGAGAAGCAGGAAAAGUUAAUAUGUGGAGAUUUUUCCUCCCCUUCCCUGCCUCCAUGAGCACCAUUAAUAAUUUAGUGCAAUCUUUCUUCUUAUUGGUGCAAGUUAUUUGUAAAAUGUCAUUAUCCAAACCAUUCACUACAUUUGGGGGCAUAGCACAUGCUGAAUGCCUAGUUCCCUUCUGUGGGAACUACCUGCACACAGAUCAUUACCAAGCACUGCUUGCUCUCUGUAACUGUUAGUGGGUAUCACACUUACCCACAGCUUGUUCCAAAGAUGGUUCUUGUAUUUGCAUGUUGCCCCAUAUGGGGGGAGUUGGUAGAAAUCCUCAACAUCUUGCAGCCGUGAGUUUUGACCUAAUGCAAUGUGUAAUACAGAAUAGAAAUCUAAUAAUAAUUUGGUAAAUUAAAGAAGGAAUGUGUUGAUCCAUUACGUGCUUUUUUUUUUUUUUUUUUUUUUUUUUUUUUUUUUUUUUUGCCAGGUACUGCACUAGGCUUGGGAUUUGGGAGUUGAAUAUGACCCAUUGAAGUUGUCAGUGCAACUCCUACUAUAGUAGGAGAGAGUAAGACAAAUUCAGGCACAAGUAAAUCACUUGGCAAAGCAACUUCCAUGUCAUAAGAAAUGCAGAGCAGUGGCACAAAGGAAAGACCAUGAGUAUCCUGAGAACCUCGUCUCCUUGUUCUCUGCUCUAUUCUCAGAGCUGGGAAAUACAUGUGGCAUGUAAACAGGCAUUCAAUGAAUGCUAGAUACAAGAAUAAAACUCAAAAUUUAUUUACCAAAAAAACAUAUCUGGCAUUGAGCAAUAUCUAUCUCAACUAUGUCUAACAGAGAACAAUUAUAUAAUAGACUUUAUUUUUAGAACAGUUUUAGAUUUACAGAAAAAAUUAGAAGCUAGUACAGAGGGUCCGUGUACACCCCACAUCCAAUUUUUUGUCCAAUUAACAUCUUACAUUACCAUGAUACAUUUGUCACAAUUAAUGAACCAAUAUUAAUACAUCAUUAACUACAAUUUUGGAGGAUACCCCUCUAUUGGAAUUCGUUUGAUGUCUUCUCAUGGUUAGACUGGAGUUAUGGGUUUGGGGGAAGAAAG
rnacentral:lncRNA from 1 species